rnacentral:misc_RNA from 1 species
AAAAAAAAAAAAAACAAACAAGAUACCAAGAAAAAUAGUUGCCUAGAAUGGAAGCAUUUUCUUGUCGUCCAAACGCAUUCUCCUUUUUUUCAUCUUUUAUCUCUCGCAAAACGAAAUCCUUUCUUCCAUUGACCGGUUUGAGCUUCAAGCUCAGAGAAAAAGCUAAUCAUAGGUUACAUGGGUGUGCUAAAAUGGAAACACGUUUAGUGAAGCAGAUGGGAAGAGAAUUGGAGGCUGAGAUGAACUCAGGAGGGGAAGAAUGGAUGAUAGAAUUGGGAAAGUUGAGAGAGAGAUGCAAGGAAAUGAGGGGGAUGGUGGAACUAUUGGAGUGCUUGGAGAGAGAAGCAAUCAUGGGUGAGGAUGAGGGUAGAGACCCCAUUGAUUACAACAGAAGAGCUCGGAUCUUUGACAAGAGUUCUAAAGUUUUCCAGGCUCUCAAGGAACGUUCCACACCUUCUCAAUAAUUUAUAUUUCUUAUUAUUAUGACCUAUCAUUCCCUGAAUUGUUACUUUAUUAGUAGUUUGAAAAAUAGCAAAUUUUCUUGUAUCUUGUCUGUAAAUUCCCCUUAUAAUCAAUUCCUUUUUCAUAUGGCAAUAAACAUAGUUAGAAUGAUUGCCUACAAGAAGAAAACGUGACACAAAUCCUGCAUGUAAAUGCUUAACACCAGUUCAAAGAAAAAUGAAAACUUACAAAUCCCUCAAUAGAAAAAAUAAGAUACCAACUAAACUAGUCCUGGAAAAUAAAAACACUAACUUAUCCUAAGAUUCUCAUCCAUAAAAGAUUAACAGAACUUCCAAAGGUUGUUACAGUUUACGCAUGUCACAUGUGUUGUCAUAGGUUCAACAGUACUCCUAGUCUGCAUUUGAUGAUAGGUGGUCUUGCGUUGCCCACAACGACCACACUUGAAUUGAUCAGUU